AACGAACGCUGGCGGCGUGGAUAAGACAUGCAAGUCGAGCGAGAUUCUUUCUUGUAGCAAUACGAGGAAAAGUCUAGCGGCGAACGGGUGCUUAACACGUGGGCAACCUGCCAAGAAGGGGGGGAUAGCUCGCCGAAAGGCGAAUUAAUACCGCAUGUGAUCAGAGUGGACAUCCAUUCAAAAUUAAAGUCGGGGCAACCUGACGCUUCUUGAGGGGCCCGCGGCCUAUCAGCUAGUUGGUGAGGUAACGGCCCACCAAGGCUUUGACGGGUAGCUGGGCUGAGAGGACGACCAGCCACACUGGGACUGAGACACGGCCCAGACACCUACGGGUGGCAGCAGUCGAGAAUUUUUCUCAAUGGGGGAAACCCUGAAGGAGCGACGCCGCGUGGAGGAUGAAGGUCUUCGGAUUGUAAACUCCUGUCAUUGGGGAACAAUGCGUAAAUAUUAACUGUAUUUGCGUUGAUAGUACCCGAAGAGGAAGAGACGGCUAACUCUGUGCCAGCCGCCGCAGUAA
rnacentral:rRNA from 1 species